rnacentral:rRNA from 1 species
UACGUAGGCAGCGAGCGUUGUUCGGAAUUACUGGGCGUAAAGAGUGUGUAGGCGGUGUUCCCAGUCUGUUGUGAAAUCUCCCGGCUUAACUGGGAGGGUGCAGCGGAAACUAGAAUGCUAGAGGGUGGGAGAGGUAAGCGGAAUUCCUGGUGUAGCGGUGAAAUGCGUAGAUAUCAGGAGGAACACCGGUGGCGAAGGCGGGUCUCUGGGCCGAUAUCGACGCUGAGGAGCGAAAGCGUGGGGAGCGAACAGG